UAGUGACACCAUUCUGCAUUUUUGAAGUGUCCUUUCAACAGGUAUUUUGCAGACUGAUGCCUGAGUCAGCCAGGCUCCAGCUUUUCUGAACCCGGGAAGCCAGGUACUUCCUCUUCCGGGUGACGGGGAGGCCCCGGGCUUGGAUCCUACGGGCAAGAUGGCCGCUACCUGCAGGGGGCUCCGCUCAGGAGCCAGGGAAACGCACGCAGCUCAGCGUGGAGGGGCUGUGCAGACCCGUGAAACGUCAGCUUUAUAUUGAGUCAGAACUCCGUUGGGGCAACAGAAAUUCCUUCACCAGAAUGGAAUUUAUUGAUUAAAGGAAAAGAAUUUGUCCUCCUCUGCAAGAUCCUUCCUGUGCUGCAGGCUGCGUGGUCACUGCCGCUCACAGCUCAGAUUUAAAGCGUUUUGAUAACGACAGGGGCUUACAUUGUCACCCAGGCUGCAGUGCAGUGGCACCAUCUUGGCUCACAUGGAGCCUUGAGCUCCCAGGUUCAAGUAGUCUUCCUGCUUCAGCUUCUCAAGUAGCUGUGGCUACAGGUGUGUGCCUCCAGGCAUGGCUCAUUUUUGUAUUUUUAGCAGAGAUGGCGUUUUGCAAUGUUGCCUAGGUUGGUCUAGAACUCCUUAGCUCAGGUGAUCCACAAAGUGCUAGGAUUACAGGUGUGAGCCAUCAUGCCCAGCUGACUUGUUCUUGAUUUUGUAACUGAUACAAAUGUGAAUUUAUCUCUAUUCUAAAUAAGCAGUUGGAGGAAGAAGGAAAAAGAAUUCUUCCAGAAUUCAGGUCUAAGGGCUAACCCCAACUUAAUGUGCCUCUGGCACUUAAUGCGUUCUCUUGAAUCACACCUUCCAGUAUUUAUGGCUGAGAGGUGUCCCUUCCCACUUUAAUGCUGGACUUGGC
rnacentral:lncRNA from 13 species